UUCACCCCCCACGCUACGUCCCAUUCGGACCGUCGUGACCGGCCACCCCAGUUGCCCCGAGGAGCGCCGCGUCGGAUCCCCGCGCAUUCGGACCCGAACCAAGCCGCGUCGGCCCCGAGGCCACGGCAUACAGUUAUUCCCCGUAACAUUUUGGCGCUAGAAGGAGGGCAUACUUGUAAUAUCCCUCACUUUUAAAAAUUUAUUAAUAAGGAUUUAUAUGUAAAUUGGAGGACCUAUAUGUAAAUAUAGAAAUUUCAAGGACUAAACUGUUAAGUUGUAAAAAGAAAAAAAAAAGAAGAGAAAAACCGAAAUGUUUCUGUUUUAUCCCACCGCCUCCCACUCUCUCUGUUUCUUUCGUGGGGUGUGGGGAGAAGGAGAAGAGAAGUAGAGGGAGAAGAAAAGAAAAGAAGAAGAAGAGGGAAAAGAAGAGAGGAAGAAGAGGGAGAAGAGAAGGAAAGAAGAAGUAGAAGAGAGGGAAGAUGGAGAGGAGAAAGAGAGGCAGCUGCAGCAGCUAGGGCUGCAGCACCUCUGUUUUCCGCAGGUGGAAACAGAGGAGAGGAUGUGUGGGGCGUUGAGAAAGAGAAGAAGAAGAAGAAGAUAGCUGCGGCAAGGCUGCAGCGAGGAGGUGUGUGGCCUUGGGGAGGAAACGGGAAGAGGAGAAGAAGAGAAGAAGAAGAAGAGGGAAAAGAGAGGGAAGAGGGAGAGGAGCGAGAGGUGGCAGCAGCUAGGGCUGCAGCACCUCUGUUUCCUGCAGGUGGAAACAGAGGAGACGUGUGGGGCGUUCGGGGAGAAGAAGAAGAAGAGGAGGAGGAAGAAGAAGAAGAGAAGAAGAAGAAGAAAAAAAAAGGAUGGCUGCAGCAUGGGCCGCAGUGAGAAGGUGUGGGGUGUCGGGUAGGAGAAGAGGAGAAGAAGGAGAAGAGGAAGAGAAGAAGAAGAGGAAGCAGGAGAAGAGGUUGUGAUACCUCUGUUUCCUGCAGAGGAAACAGAGGAGAGGGUGUGUGUGACGCCGGGGAGGAGAAGGGAAGAAGAAGAGGAGAAGAAGAGAAGGGAAAGGAGGAGCUGCGGCUGCGGCGGUGGCAGCUGCAGCUGGAAGAGAAGGAGAGGAAGAAAAGAAGGUAAGGAAGAAGAGAAGAAGAAGAAAGGAAGGAGAAGGAAGAGGAGAAGGGAAAGAAGCAGCUGCGGCUGCGGCUAUGGCAGCUGCAGCCGUGGCAGGGAAAGAGGAAGAGGAAGGAAGAAGGGAAGGAGAAGAAGAGAAGGGAAAGAAGUAGCUGCGGCUGCGGCUGUGGCAGCUGCAGCUAUGGCAGGGAAAGAGGAAGAGAAAGGAAGAAGGGAAGGAGAGAAGAAGAGAAGGGAAAGAAGGGGCUGCGGCUGCGGCGAUGGCAGCUGCAGUUGGAAGAGAAGAAGGAGAGGAAGAUGAGCAGGGGAGGAAGAAGAGGCUGUGGCCGUGGCUGAGGCUGCGACUGCAGCAGUGCAGCUGGGAAAGAAGAGAAGAAAAGGAAGAAGAAGAGAAAGGAAAAGGGAAGAAGAGAGGAAGAGGAGAAGGGGUGGCAGCUGCGGUAGUGGCAGCUGCAGCCGGAAGAGAAAGAGAGAAAAUAGAGCAGGGGAGGAAGAUGAGGCUGCGGUUGUGGUGGCUGCGGCCAUGGCUGCUGACUGCGACUGCGGCAGUUGCAGCUGGGAAAGAAAAGAAAGGAAAGGGGGGAAAAAGGAGCUGCGGACGGGAUUGCGGCCGUCGCGGUAGCAACUGCGUAUGCAGCAGUUAUGUCUAUGAGAGAAGGGAGGAAGGAAGGUAGUGCGGUGGAAGGGGCUGUGAUUGUGGCAGCGGCAGCGGCGGCGGCUGUGACAGCUGCGUUUGGGAAAGAAAAAGAAUGAAUGAGAGUAAGAAAGAGCAGGUGACUGUGCCUCGAUGGGAAAGAAAAAGAAGGAAUGAGAGUAAGAAAGAGCAGGUGACUGUGCCUCGAUGUUCGACACGUGGUGUAGUUGCGAAGAAAGGAAGAAAAUAAGAGCACAAAACGAAACGGAGAGAGGACAUGAAGGAAAAGUAGAAGGAUUUGGGCUGGCACCUUCUUUGGAUCUUCGGAUCGAAAUCUUUGAAAGGUCAGCUUAUCACUCUUUGAGAUGUUUGAUUUGGGCUGAGGCAGUGGAUAGCUAUUCAGAAUUAUGGGCAAGUCUUGUUGGUUAUUAUGUUAUCGUUGUAUAAGCAUAUUUUGUAUGUAAUGAAAUGUUGUUGAUGAAUCGAAAUGGAUAUACUGUGUAAAAGUGUUAGAAGAUCUCUCUUAUUUGGAAUUUCGGAAGGUUAAGUCUAAUUUAUGAUGAUAUGAACUUGUGGUGAAUAGUUGGAGUUCUGAUUGUAUAAUUUACUUAGCUUGUGGAUUUAUAAAUGUUGUUCAGGUUUAUUAA